GACAGUUUGGCCGAGUGGUUAAGGCGGCAGACUCGAAUUGGCCUUUCCCAAGGCCUCGCUCGUCAUCUGCUGGGUUCGCCCGCACAGGUUCAAAUCCUGUAGCUGUCG